AUGAGGAGGGUCAUGGCGGCGUCACCGCUGUUGCUGCUCUUGCUGGUGUCGCUGGUGUCGACGGCGGCCGCCACCAGCGACACAUCGGAAAGCUGGGAGAGGAAGAGGAGCGAGGAGGAGACCCGGCAGAUCUUCAGGGAGUGGAAGGCCAUGCACGGCACGACCAACAGCUCCCUCGAUGAGGAGGAGCAGCGCGCGUACACCAUGUUCAAGCACAGGCUCGGCCUCAUUGACCGGCAGUGGCAUGACCAAGGCUACUCCGUCUUCUCCUGGGAGAGGGGGAGGAGCGAGGAGGAAACGCGCAAGAUCUUCGCGGAGUGGAAGGCACGAAAACCAGUUACUACCUACAGCUCCAUCGCCCACGAAGAGCACCGGUACACCAUAUUCAAGGAGGACCUGCGCAAAAUCGACCAGCACAACGCUGGCUACGCCAUCGGGGUCCACAAUAACAACAGAUGCCUCAACCAGUUUAGCCAUCUCACCCAAGAGGAGUUCGAAGCCGUUUGCUGCGGGUUCUGGCCGGAGGAGCCGUCCGAGGCCAAAUUACAGAGGAUAGGCGAGAUCCAGGAGCUGUUGCGGCAAGCAUUUACCCGUCCCUUAAUUUAA
rnacentral:rRNA from 1 species